rnacentral:lncRNA from 1 species
UAUUUUGUAAGAAAUAAAAUUGAAUGUCAUUAGCUGAAUUAAUGUAACUUUGUAAAUAUUAAAAAAUUUAAUUAUAAUACGGAACCCAAGAACCAAAUCGAACUGAUCCGAAUAAAACCGAAUCUAAACGAUUCCAUAAUUAAAUUUGAAUCUGACGAUUUUACUGACUAAACACCCAAAAAUUUCGGGUCCGAUAUGGUUCCCUUUAGAACCGAAUCGAACCAAAUCAUAUCCAACCAUAGAUAUAAACAAGACUUUUUUGCUAAAUAUAAAUAUAAGAUUAAAAAUAUAUAUAUAUAUAUAUUCGUAGAUAUAGUAUAAUUUGCAUUACUACUGAAUUCACAAUUCACAAGUUUAAAUCCCAUCUCAACUGGAAGAUCAUACGUUGUUUUCAGAUGAAGCGAGAAUCCAGGGAUAGAUGGCUCAGAUCCACCCACAGCAAAUCUCUUCAUAAAUCUAUAGCUUGUCCGAAUACCUUGGCAAGGUCUAUGUAACUCGUCCUCCUUAAAACGUUCUGCCUAGACGUAAGUUGUUAGAAGAUGAGUCAUAAUUGAAGUAAGAAACUGGCUUCCUAUUACAGCUUUCGCUGCAAGCAAAAUCGACAAUCAACCGAGCAAUAGUGUCUGGCUUCUCGACAUGAGGCAUAUGACCACACUCUGAUACUUUCUGUAUAACUGCAUUUGGAAGUUCACUCUGCAGUCUCUGCAUUUUGUUUCAAAGGAACAGAAUUAUUUAAACAGUAUUUACCAAAUGAAGAAUAGAAGAUGAAAACCCAUCAUAGCCGAAGCUAUUGAAAAGGACACAGACUUGGUUUUUCAUAUUACUUAAUUGAUUAGGGAAGCCUGAUACAAAACCAAAGGGGUCGGUUCUCCAUUCAAUUCUUUUUUNNN